rnacentral:rRNA from 1 species
CGACCGGCGCACGGGUGAGUAACGCGUAUCCAACCUGCCCUUUACUUUGGGGAGUAACCCGUUGAAAGACGGACUAAUACCCAAUGACAUUCAUUGAUGACAUCUGAUUUGAAUUAAAGAUUUAUCGGUAUAGGAUGGGGAGUGCGUCUGAUUAGCUUGUUGGUGAGGUAACGGCUCACCAAGGCCACGAUCAGUAGGGGUUCGUGAGAGGAAGGUCCCCCCACAUUGGAACUGAGACACGGUCCAAACUCCUACGGGAGGCAGCAGCU